rnacentral:rRNA from 1 species
CUGGAGACAGGUGCUGCAUGGCUGUCGUCAGCUCGUGUCGUGAGAUGUUGGGUUAAGUCCCGCAACGAGCGCAACCCUUGCCUUAGUUGCCAGCAGUUCGGCUGGGCACUCUAAAGGGACUGCCGGUGUUAAACCGGAGGAAGGUGGGGAGUGACGUCAAGUCCUCAUGGCCUUUAUGACCAGGGCUACACACGUACUACAAUGGCCGAUACAAAGGGCAGCGACACUGCGAGGUGAAGCCAAUCCCGUAAAAUCGGUCUCAGUCCGGAUUGGAGUCUGCAACUCGACUCCAUGAAGUUGGAAUCGCUAGUAAUCGUGGAUCAGCAUGCCACGGUGAAUACGUUCCCGGGCCUU